rnacentral:rRNA from 1 species
GUCUACAGCCAUGCCACCCUGAACAAGCCCGAUGUCUGAUCUCGGAAGCUAAGCAGGGUCUGGCCUGGUUAGUACUUGGAUGGGAGACUACCUAGGAAGACCAGGUGCUCUAGGCA